GACGAACGCUGGCGGCGUGCUUAACACAUGCAAGUCGAACGGAAAGGCCCUGCUUUUGUGGGGUGCUCGAGUGGCGAACGGGUGAGUAACACGUGAGUAACCUGCCCUUGACUUUGGGAUAACUUCAGGAAACUGGGGCUAAUACCGGAUAGGAGCUCCUGCUGCAUGGUGGGGGUUGGAAAGUUUCGGCGGUUGGGGAUGGACUCGCGGCUUAUCAGCUUGUUGGUGGGGUAGUGGCUUACCAAGGCUUUGACGGGUAGCCGGCCUGAGAGGGUGACCGGCCACAUUGGGACUGAGAUACGGCCCAGACUCCUACGUGAGGCAGCGGUGGGGAAUAUUGCACAAUGGGCGGAAGCCUGAUGCAGCAGCGCCGCGUGCGGGAUGACGGCCUUCGGGUUGUAAACCGCUUUCGCCUGUGACGAAGCGUGAGUGACGGUAAUGGGUAAAGAAGCACCGGCUAACUACGUG
rnacentral:rRNA from 1 species